GACGUAGGUGGCGAACGUUAUCCGGAAUUAUUGGGCGUAAAGGGUGCGUAGAUGGUCUGAAAAGUUAGAGUGGGAAAUCGAGGCCCAACUUCGUGGAAGCUGCUAAUACUAUCAGACUAGAGAGCAGGAGAGGUUAACGGAACUCCAUGUGGAGCGGUAAAAUGCGACGAUAUAUGGAAGAACAUCAAUAACGGCGAAGGCAGUUAACUAUGCUGUUUCUGACAUUGAGGCACGAAAGCGUGGGGAGCAAAACGG
rnacentral:rRNA from 1 species